rnacentral:lncRNA from 1 species
AUGGCCAUGAGCAGGAGGUGCAGGGCACACCUUGGUUGGCCCUCCAGACAGGUAGCCUCCCCGGGAAGCAAGGGGUGGGUUAUACCAAGGUGUUGUGGGCAGGGGUUCUGCGCCUGGUUCCCCUUCAGAAAUGAUCCUGAACCCCAAACUCACCUCUGCCACUCUCUCCACAGGCCCCACGCUGGGCGAGAAGUCCGAGGCCAAGACCGGGGCAGCGCCCAAGGUCUCGGGUCUCGAGCGCAGCCGCGAGCUGAGCACCGAGCCGCCCUUCUUGGCCCCCGUGCGCAGCCCCGCGCCGGUCUUGCCCUCCGCCAGCACCGCGGCCAGCCCGCUGGUCAAGAAGGAAGCCCCGGCGCUGCCCCGCCUUGCCCCGCAGCUGCCACCCGCGCCCUCGCAGCCCCGGGCCCCGCUCCUGACGCACGUGCCUCUCCCUCCGGGCGCCUUCCCGGGCCCCGGCCCGGCCGCGCACAACGGCCUGCACAGCCUCAGGCCCAGCACCAGCACCACGCGGCGGCCAUGUUCGCCGCGCCCCCGACACUGCCCCCGCCCCCGGCGCUGCCGGCCAACAGCCUGGUCAUCCCAGGACACCCCGCCGAUGCCAGCCUGUUGAUCUCAUUCAGCCAGCCAAUCAUGUAUUGCCAGCCUCAUUCGGGGAUUCUGAUUGGUACUUGGUCACAGGCACCUCUCUUACCUCCACCCUGGGGCCCGCACGUAGCGAGCGGCCACCACGGCUUGGCCUGCCGAAACCGGGAGUGCCAGUUUGACAAGUACACGCCCAAGCUGGACAGCCCCUACUUCCGACAUUCCAACUUUUUCCCGCCCUUCCCUCCGGCCGUCCCAGGACUGCCCGCCCUGCUCCCACACCCAGGCCCCUUUGGAUCCCUGCAGGGUGCUUUUCAGCCCAAGCAGGUGUCUGACCCGUACCGGACAGCAAUCAGGAUGCAGCUGGAGCCCCACAAGCUGGACGUGGGCACCAAGCUGGACUUAUUCAGCAGACCCCCCGCCCCGGGCGUGUUCGCCGGAUUCCACUACCCACAGGACCUGGCCCGGCCCCUCUUCUCCAGCUCGGGUGCCACCCAUCCUGCCGCCAACCCGUUCGGACCCUCAGCGCAUCCUGGCAGCUUCCUGCCCACUGGUCACUUGACAGACCCUUUCAGCAGAUCAAGCACCUUCGGGGGCCUGGGGAGCCUAGGCAGCAACGCUUUUGGAGGCCUCGGCAGCCACGCGCUGACUCCCAGCAGCGGCGGCAUCUUUGCCCCCAAGGAGGGCCCCACACUGCACGGUCUGCCCAGCCCCCACGAGGCCUGGAACCGGCUGCACCGAGCACCACCCUCCUUCCCCACGCCACCCCCAUGGCCCAAGCCCUUAGACGCCGAGCGGGUCUCAGCCCUGACCAACCACGACCGAGAGCUGGACAAGGGCAAGGAGGAGCGGGACCGGGACCUCCUGGAAAAGACACGCCUGCUGAGCCGGGCCUCUCCAGCGGCGCCCGUGGGCCACCCAGGCAGUGGCCUCGUGCUCCGGGGCCAGGGCGAUCCGGGCCGGCCCGGGAUCCCUGCCGAACGCGAGGCUGAGCUCCGCAUCAAGGAGAGCCGCUCCCCGGCCAGGGAGGACGGCCCCAAGCCCAGCAAGAUGGCCCUGGGGGAAGGCCUGCGCCUGGCCGGUCUCCUGGGCCGCGAGCCCGGGAAGCCGCACGAGGCGCCGGCCGAGCGGUCCCAGGGCGACGUGAAGGUCAAGGAGGAGCGCGGGGAGGACGGAGACGCGCCCCCACAGCCCGGCCCGGGCCCCGCGGGCCGCGAGCGCCCGGCCUUCGCGUGGGAGCCACCGCGCGACGCCUACCGCGGCCCGGAGCUGCCCCGCCGCGCCCCGCCGGGCCCGGGCCCCGCCGCCCUCCUCGAGCCGCCCGAGCGCCCCUACCGGGACCGCGAGCCGCACGACUACAGCCCCGAGCGCCUGCGGGAGGCGCGCCGCGACGAGCUAGAGCGCGCCCGGGCCGCGCACCUGGACGGCGCGGCGCUGCUGCCGGCGCUGGGCGCCCUGCACUACCCGCGCCUCGCGCCCGCCGCCGCCGCCCUGCACAACAGUCUCCUGGCGCGGACCCCGCCCGCCGCCGCCGCGCUCGGCGCGCCGCCGCCGCUGGUGGCCGCAGGCGGGCCCCCCACGCCCCCCGGGCAGCCGCGGAGCAGGACUACGCCGCUGGGGGCCCGCGCGCCGGGUGAGGCCCGCGACUACUCCCCGUCCCGCAACCCCCAGGAGGUAGAGGCGCGGUAG